rnacentral:lncRNA from 1 species
AAAUCCCUCCGAUGUGGGACAACUCAACACCCCCAUCACGCCCAGAUCUCUGGAGCGUGGACAACAUAAAUGGGGGCCCAAAAUCGGUAACAAUAAUUGGGAUGGGCCUGGCUCUGAUACCAUGAAAACAUGCUCAAUAUCGAAGAAAUUUAGAGAGAGAAAGUAGAGAGAAGGGAGAGCAUCGGAAGAGUCUCAAAGAGACUCAGAUAUUUU